AUAAAUGAAGGGAUAUCUCAAUCUGCCAAUUGAAUUUAGGGGCCAUAAUCAGUGUUUGAAAAUACCCAGGGAUUAUGGUGAUUUACGGCUGGGACGGAAUCCGCUGGGGCCUUAGCCUUAUCGGGUGUGCAGAGAGGAGCCUGUCAGGAACUCCAAAUGCAACUGAAAACACUGCGUGCAAACCCAUUUAUAGUCACAGGGGGGAUGGGGCUGGACCAGGUCAGGCCACCUGGGCUCUGGCCCAGGAUGGGCCCUUCAGAUUAUUCUCCAAGCCCUCCUCAGCCCCUGAGGGUGGGAAGCCCGUCUGUCGUGUUCCACUUCAUUCCCAUGUGCCAGGGCCCUCCUGGAACUUGUAGGCCCAGCCCAAGUCUUCUCUUCCAAGAAGCCCUCCUGGCCUCCAUCCUCCCCCACUGACCUCAGCCUCCUCUGACUUCCUGCCUCCUUUUAUGUUUAAACCAGCUGGAGGGUAAUGGGAAAGGUGUUGCUUUUGGCAUCAGAACACCCAGUUCAAGUCCCAGCUCUGCCACAUCCCUACAUGGGCAAGCCAGGCCUUGCGUGGGCCUCAGUUAUCUCCCUGCCAAAUGGGGAUAAAAAACACUCCCUGUGGGGCCUGCUUCAGAGGGGUUAAAUGAGAUAACUGGAUAGAAACCAUCUCGGCAGAUGGAAGGCAUCCCAUGACCACAGCGGUUAGUGAUUUACUGGCUUCUCUUGGGUUGUGCCCUGAGCGCUUGCAUCGUCUGGAGUGUUUGCUUCAUCUCCCUAACUUCCCAAUGAGCCUGGGUU
rnacentral:lncRNA from 1 species